rnacentral:rRNA from 1 species
GACGAACGCUGGCGGCGUGCUUAACACAUGCAAGUCGAACGGGAUGGCGAACGGGUGAGUAACACGUGAGUAACCUGCCUUUUUCUUUGGGAUAACGCUCAGAAAUGGGUGCUACUACUGGAUGGGGGGAGAUGGGCUCGGGGCUUAUCAGCUUGUUGGGGGGGUGAUGGCUUACCAAGGCUUUGACGGGUAGCCGGCUUGAGCAGGUGGGCUGUCACAUUGGGACUGUGAUACGGCCCAGACGCUUACGGGAGGCAGCAGUGGGUAAUUUUGCACAAUGGGUGGAACCUUGAUGCAGCGACUCCGCGUGAGGGAUGGAGGCCUUCGGGUUGUGAACCUCUUUCGCUCGUGUGCGUGUAGCGUGUAAAGAAGCGCCGGCUAACUACGUGCCAGCAGCCGCGGUAAUUC